GACGAACGCUGGCGGCGUGCUUAACACAUGCAAGUCGAGCGGUAAGGCCCUUUCGGGGGUACACGAGCGGCGAACGGGUGAGUAACACGUGGGUGACCUGCCCUCAGCUCUGGGAUAAGCCUGGGAAACCGGGGUCUAAUACCGGAUAUGACUCCAUGACGCAUGUUGUGGGGUGGAAAGCCUUGUGCGGCUGAGGAUGGGCCCGCGGCCUAUCAGCUUGUUGGUGGGGUGAUGGCCUACCAAGGCGACGACGGGUAGCCGGCCAGAGAGGGCGACCGGCCACACUGGGGACUGAGACACGGGCCCAGACUCCUACGGGAGGCAGCAGUGGGGAAUCUUGCGCAAUGGGCGAAAGCCUGACGCAGCGACG
rnacentral:rRNA from 1 species